UAAAACAUUAACAGAGAAAUAAAAAAUAAAAAAAGCGGCCAAGUGCGAGUCGGACUCGCCCAUGAAGGGUUCCAUAGCAAUUUAAUCGUAUUAAAAAAAAACUACUUACUAGAUCUCGUUCAAACCAAUUUUCGGUGGAAGUUUGCAUGGUAAUGUACAUCAUAUAUUUUUAUUAGUUUUAUCAUUCUCUUAUUUUAGAAGUUACAGGAGGGGGGGACACAAAUUACCACUUUGGAAGUGUCUCUCGCGCAAACUAUUCAGGUUAGAAAAAAAUUAUAUUAGAAAUCUCAAUAUCAUUUUUGAAGACCUAUCCAUAUACCACACACGUAUGGAUUUGAUUAAAAAAAAAUUUUGAGUUUCAGUUCUAUGUACGGGGAACCCCCAAAAUUUAUUGUUUUUUUUUCUAUUUUUGUGUGAAAAUCUUAAUGCGGUUCACAGAAUACAUCUACUUACCAAGUUUCAACAGUAU